CCACCAUACAGGGGAACACUCGGCAGAGCCAGAGGCCUGGGCCCAAGUCCUGCCACCAGCUGGCUGUGAAACUGUGGUACAGCACCUUGUGUCCUGCCACCAGCCGGCUGUGAAACUGGUACAGCACCUUGUCCUCAGGUCCUUGGUUUCCUCACUUGUAAAUUCAUGGUUCUCCAUGGCAUCUCUGGUCUUCAACAUUAUUUUGCAUAGAGUCUCAGAAGCUUUAGUGUGAGCGGAUGAUAUGGGCACGAAGCAAGGCACCCAGAAGUGGGGGCAACUACUCUGCUUUCUAAAAUGCAAGGGAACCGGAAAAUCCAGGAGCCGUGCCAAAUGAGAAGAGGAACAAAUGGAGGAACAUCCCAGUCAAGUGACAUUCCUAGUGACAUUCACCAGAACAGAGUCAAGCUUUGGAUCCCAUGUUCUGUGACUUCCUCUUCACCACGCUUCCUCCACACACGUAGCAGCUCAAGGGUUUCUGAUGAGUGGGAGGCUUGACUAGAAUUGAAUUCGAGACAAGCACAAAGAUCAUGAUGCAAAUGAAAGGGACAGAGGGGAGAGAAACAGAAAACAAGUGAGUCAAAUUUGGUCUAUGUUCCCUUUAUGAGCUGUAACGCACACCAUGAAGGUCUGCGGCUUGGCUAUUGAGUCAGUGAGAGCGUGAACCUACUAUUAGAAGAAAAACUCUGAAUACGUCUGAACGUCAGAAAGAACGAAGUUUGGACACAUUGUCUUUAAGAACUGUAACACUCACCCCAAGGGUUUAUGGAUUCAUUCUUGAAAUCAGUGAAACCAAAAGCUUUCCAAAGUUUAACACACAGGGAAAUGACUUACUGCAAAGAACCACUCUUCCCCACGAGACUUCGAGAAGACCCGCUGUCACGGACUGAGUUGUGUCCUCUUAAAAUUCAGAUGUUGGAGUCCAAACCCCCAGUAACUCAGAGUGUGAACGUAUUUGAAGAGGUCUUUAAAGAGGUGAUGAAGGGAGAGAGACCCCAUGAGCUCGUCAAGCUCCUUCUGUGACUGAUCAGAGAUCCCACCGUGAGUCCAGCUCCUGGUCCCAUGCUCUGGAUAUAUCGGUCCCUGGCAGCGUGGCUCCAUCUCCGUAGCCUGCUUUUGACAAAAGUGGAUACAUAAAUCUAGGGGCCACCUAGCUAGUUCUAAUAAGACUUUGGAAGUCAAAAGCUAAAGAAGACCAGGGGACCAAGCUGGAAAUCAGGCUCUGCAAUCAGAUUCCAGAGGGAAUGCCAUUCCACCCAAUCACCUAGCCACAACGGUUCCCUUCCUUCAAGAUGCUGCAUGCCUCUUCAGGCGAAUGGAUUACCUUGUAAGAGUGACCUGAAAAAGCGUUAGCCCAGCCACACCGAGGCUUAACUGAGCCAUUUGAUUCUCACUGCCUCUCUCUGUUGCUUCCUCUUGCUUUCAACUACAGGGUCUUUCUGUUUAGGUGGUGAAAAAAAUGAUCGUUAAAAACAAUAAACCUGGGGACCUCUGAUACCAUGAGCCCAGCCAGAGAUCUGUGUCAAGCAAAUCCUUGCAGACAGUUCUGCCAGCCUGCAGAUGGCUGUUUGCCUCUCGUGGAUUUGAUAAGUGCUCAUUUAUGCCCAGAGGCCUCUGGGAGAUAGUGCUCAUGCUGAGCUUACAAACUGAAAACCAUUAUCUGUUCCUUACCUGAGACCCUGGGGAGCAGUCAGCUCACUCCCUGCCGAUGGCCUAAGAUAGGUACUGAUGUUACAGUUGAGGAAUAUCUAGGAGUAACAAACUUAAGUAGCUGGAAUAUGCCAAUUUUGACAAUUUGACAACAUCAUUAUAAACAUUCUGAAGUACUUACAAGUCUUUUUUUUUUUUUUUUUUUUUUUUGGGAGACAGAGUCUUACUUACUCUGUCACAGACUAAAGUGCAGUGGCGUGAUCUCGGCUCACUACAACCUUUGCCUUCUAGAUUCAAGCGAUUUUCCUGCCUCAGCCUCCCGAGUAGCUGAGAUUACAGUCACACACUAAGGUGCCCGGCUAAUUUUUGUAUUUUCAGUGGAGAAGGGGUUUCACCACGUUGGUCAGGCUGGUCUGGAACUCCUGACCUCAGGUGAUCUGCCUGCCUCAGCCUCCCAAAGUGUUGGGAUUACAGGCAUGAGCCACCGUGCCUGGCCAUGCAAUACUUAGAGUCACAGAAGUUUAUGGUUAGAUAAUUCUCACAGAGGUGACCUGGUUCAGCUCUACCAUCAAGGUCAUUGAGACACUGGCACCUUGCCCAAGGUCAUGCCAACCUGGGAUUAGGCGUUUCCUGCCCGAUGCCCUUUCCCCACUUUCCACACCUAUUGUUCAUACUAAUUUAUUGCAGGUCUUAUUUCUACAGCCUCCUUUAAUUGCUUUAUGUUCACGGGACACUGUCUUCAGGAUAAGAUUGCAAGUAUUUUUUUAUAUUACUUCCUCUUGUCCCUGAUACUGUAGGGUUUCAAGCUGAAACCAGUCAAAAAGGACUUCAUGCUGAGUAACUUUUGCCCAGGCAGCAGGGCUGAGGAGCUGGGGACGAAGGAGAGACCCUGGCUGUAUUCUUUCUGAUAGGUGUUACACAUCAGGCUUGAGUUAAUUUGGUCAGGUUCAAUAAUGUGCUGCAGUUACUCUGUAAACACUUAGAAUCGUGGAGUGUCAGGUCUGGAAGGAGAUUUAAAGACAACCUGGUCUUAUGGUUCUCUAACUGUGCUCCAAGGAACCCUAGGGGCUCCUGUGUGUGGGGGUCGGGGUGUGCCUUCUGGUCAGCCUCUAAGAGCAGGUGGGCUGGAGAGCUGAGCUGACUUAGGCCUAAGCACUGGCCCCUUUUCUUGAAAUAUUUUAUUUAAUGGGGCUGUAUCAGAUUUCUUACAAACAAAGGGCUUGGAUGAUAGACCAUGGUCGACAGCUAUGAAUCUAGUCCAGCUCUUUCAUUUUCACUGUGAGCAAAUGAGGCUUGGAAUGAGGGAAGAGGGACUAGACCACUGCGUGCAGAGCUGCACACAUAGCUAGUGACAGGAGCCAGGAUGGAAACUCUUUGCAGAUGCCCCCUCGAUACCUUGCAGAGAUGGCCUGGUCCCUCUAAGAAGCUAUGUUUUUGGCUUGAUGGAGAGAUUGAACUACAGAAACCAACUCUCUAUGGUGGCUGCUCAUCUGGGAAAAGAAAGGGACAAAAUCUACACUUACUGAGUGACUACUGUGUCACAGGCAUGGAAAAUACAUUCACUCAUUCAGAGCAGGUGUGUGGAGCACCUCCUGCAUAGCAGAUGCUGCCCUGCCUGUCAUGGGUACUCUUUAAGCCUCACAAGCCUGCAGGGGAAGCUAUCACGUGCUCCAGAGCUGAAGGCUCUCAGGGUUAUGCAGCUGGCUCAUCAGUGGCAGACCCACAUCUGAACUGACACCCUUUGAACUCCAAAUCUGCUGUGCCACAUCACAUCCUAAUAUGCUUUUUUUUUU
rnacentral:lncRNA from 10 species